UAAUAUAAUAGAAAAAAAAAGAGAAAAACUGAAAAUCUUGAGCUUCCCAUUUUCCGCAGUGGCUAUAUAUUCUUCCGAGACCUUCAAUGCCCUCCCUUUCUCUCUCACAAACCUCUCCUUCUCUCUCUGGAAAGACACAUUUUUUAAUCUCGUAAUACUCAUCUGUUUGGUAACUGAAUUUGCAUUGGUUAAUCACCAUCGAAAGAACAAACAAAAGGAUUGGAGGGGGCGUAUAUGGGGAGGAGGUUGAACAUGCCCUCUGUUCUUAUUCUUACAGUGCCUCCUCUCAGAUCUUAAUUUUCUGCGCGAUUUGGCAUCUGGGUUUUCGUUAAUCUGCCGGUGUGCAUAAUUCUGGGUCCUGUAUUUGAUCGGUGAAGGAUCGGAUGCUUCUAAAUUAAAUCCAGGAACACUUGUUUUUGAAUCGGACUACAAUCUGUGUUCUUAAUAUUUAAAAAAUAAGUGAAAAUGCAAUCCGAUAGUGGUAAGUUGUUUAUCGGCGGCAUAUCUUGGGAUACAAAUGAGGAGCGGCUAAAAGAGUAUUUCAGCAGUUUCGGGGAGGUGGUAGAAGCAGUGAUAAUGAAGGAUCGGACCACAGGCCGUGCUCGUGGUUUUGGUUUUGUAGUUUUUUCUGACCCAGCUGUGGCGGACAGUGUCAUAAUGGAGAAGCACAACAUCGAUGGAAGGAUGGUUGAAGCGAAAAAGGCUGUUCCCAGGGAUGACCAGAAUAUUUUGGGUAGAAGCAGUGGCAGCAUCCAGGGUUCUCCAGGUCCAGGUCGCACAAGAAAGAUUUUUGUUGGAGGUUUAGCAUCCACUGUCACGGAGAGUGACUUUAAGAAGUACUUUGAACAGUUUGGAACAAUCACGGAUGUUGUGGUGAUGUAUGAUCACAACACCCAGAGGCCGAGAGGCUUUGGAUUCAUCACUUAUGAUUCAGAGGAGGCAGUGGACAGGGUUUUGCUUAAGACAUUUCAUGAACUGAACGGGAAAAUGGUUGAGGUAAAGCGAGCAGUUCCGAAAGAGUUAUCACCUGGUCCCAGUCGCAGCCCUCUUGCAGGAUACAACUAUGGUCUCAGUAGGGUCAGUAGCUUCCUUAGUGGCUACACUCAGGGGUAUAAUCCAAGUACAGUUGGAGGCUAUGGCCUUGGUAGAUUCAGUUCAGUUGCAGGUGGUCGAAGUGGAUUUCCUCCAUAUGGUUCUGGUUAUGGAAUUGGUAUGAAUUAUGAGCCAGGGUUGAGUCCAGGAUUUAGUGGAAAUGCAAAUUUUAAUAGUACUAUGAGCUAUGGGCGGGGUUUGAGUCCUUAUUAUAUCAAUAAUUCAAAUAGGUUUAGCAGCCCCAUUGGGUAUGAUGGCGGUAAUGGAGGAAACACAUCUUCGUUUUUCAGCUCAGUCACUCGGAACUUGUGGGAGAAUGGGAAUGGGAAUGACGGUGGUCUUAAUUAUGGAACAAACUCCACAAAUGCCAAUUCUUACAUCGGAUCAGGAAGUGGGACCAUUGGAGGAAGUACGUUUGGAAAUACUGGAAAUAAUUGGCCUUCUUCAGCAAUGUCAGCUCAAGUCGGAGGAAAUAAUGUUUCUAACAAUAGCAGGAAUCUUGGUUAUGGAGUUGGGGAUAACAGUUACAAUCUGGGAACUGGAGGGUAUGGAAGAAACAGUGGUGCAAGUGUGGCCCCUACAUCUUCAUUUGCUGCAUCAAAUGGUGGUUUUGAUGGGACCUUCACUGACUUUUACAGUAGCGGUUCAGUAUAUGGAGAUCCUACUUGGCGUUCAUCAAAUUCCGAUCGAGAUGGACCUGGUCCCUUUGGUUAUGGGCUUGGCGGUGCAGGCUCUGAUGUAUCAGCUAAAAGUUCUCCUGGUUAUGUUGGUGGUUAUAGUGUUAAUAAGAGACAGCCAAAUACAGGUUAUCUUCACUAGUAAAGUGGCUUUGAUGUUCAUAACUUGAGCUUGAAGGCAUGCAUAUUAAAGAAUUGCUGCCUAGGAUCGUCAUGUCUGAUAUCACGACAUUGUAGGUGAAGAUAAUGAAGCAGGUGAACUGUGAAUUUUGCACACCACCGCCGUUUAUAUAUCUCAGUAAGAGAGAUUUGGUUAGUAAGAGCUAACUGGGAGUGGCUGUUUUAAAGAAGUUAGAGUUAGAAGCUAAAAAUGGAUUUUGUGUUAAUGCAUUGAGUUUUGAGUUACCAAUUUUAGGGUUUUUCGGUUUUGUUUUGGUCUAUGAGUGAGAUGUAAAAUCAGAUUGCGGGAUAUAGUCAGAAGUGUAUCAUGCAUCUCCGGUGAGGCGGUGAUACCCAAAAGAAAAAGAGAGAAAAGGAAAGAAAAAAAAGAGAGAAACUGAUAUAUAUUUUUUUCCCUCUUAGAAUUUUAUCUGUAAAAUCUUCUGGCCAAGUUGUGGGUUCUGGUCAGGGAAUGCUUCUUCUUCUUCUUUUUUUCCCAAUCAUUUGGUUUGUUUUUAUUGUACCUGAGCUGAGAUUAAUGUUGAUUUACUAUUAGUGUGAAACAUUUUAAGGGUUUACCCAUCUAGGGACCCCCAUCAAUAAGUAAUCGCAUAUCCUGAUC